rnacentral:misc_RNA from 1 species
GGAAUUCGAUAGCUUUAGGCUAUGGUGUUUGGUGGUUUCGGGCUUAUUGCAGAUUGUAUCGUUGCGAUCAAACGUGCAGAUGUACUUGAAUGAAGCAGUAUUGUGUUGGUAUCAGAGACUGCAUGCAAGCAAAGUUCCUGACUUAGCUUAUAGUAGGGCCAAGGUGUUCCUGCACAAUCACUUUGUAUGCCUUGUGGUUCUGCAGUUUUUUUUGCCUGCAUCAAUGGUACUUAUCUUCCUUGGCUUGUCUCAACUUGGUGGCGAUUUGCUUACCAAUUACGAAGGGGUAUGUAGCGUAUUGCCUUGUUCUCUGCUAGACAAAGAGGUGGCUUUGUUUAUGGCCUGGUGGGUUCUCUUUGUUUGGACAAUAUAUAGUUCAGUCACCCUUGCUCUAUUUAGACAGGGAAUCUUGUGUGUAUCUUGAUCUAUUGUUUACACGACUCACCAUCAGGAAGCCGAGGUCUCUCAUUUUAUGAGCU